CCAGCAUUCAGAUUGCCUUUUCUCUCAACCAGGAUCUUUAAAGUCGAUGACAAGAGUUCCAGUCCUGAAUCAUGGCAAAGUGCAGUAGUGAACUGCGGGGUUAUUCUGGAAGGAUCUCUCUAUGGCUGAUGGUCUCAGUUCCGGCAUCAGCCUCUGACUGAGAAUAAGGUCUCACACAGGAGGAGUCAGAUGAGGAGCAAUCCUCUGCUUCCGAUGGAGUUAGUUGUGAUGAAUUGGUGAGGUCUGGUUUUUCACACUGAACUAAAAUGAGCUUUCGCUGUGUCAAGCACAAGACUG
rnacentral:lncRNA from 1 species